UACAGAGGGUGCGAGCGUUAAUCGGAAUUACUGGGCGUAAAGCGCGCGUAGGCGGAUCUGCAAGUCGGGGGUGAAAUCCCGAGGCUCAACCUCGGAACUGCCUUCGAUACUGCGGGUCUCGAGUCCGGGAGAGGUGAGUGGAAUUCCUAGUGUAGAGGUGAAAUUCGUAGAUAUUAGGAAGAACACCAGUGGCGAAGGCGGCUCACUGGCCCGGUACUGACGCUGAGGCGCGAAAGCGUGGGGAGCAAACAGG
rnacentral:rRNA from 1 species